rnacentral:rRNA from 1 species
GACGUAGGGCGCGAGCGUUUGUCCGGAUUUAUUGGGCGUAAAGAGCUCGUAGGCGGCUUGUCGCGUCGACCGUGAAAACUUGGGGCUCAACCCCAAGCCUGCGGUCGAUACGGGCAGGCUAGAGUUCGGUAGGGGGAGACUGGAAUUCCUGGUGUAGCGGUGAAAUGCGCAGAUAUCAGGAGGAACACCGGUGGCGAAGGCGGGUCUCUGGGCCGAUACUGACGCUGAGGAGCGAAAGCGUGGGGAGCGAACAGG